ACACCUCAUGUCCAUAAUGCUGAAACACCUGUUGCUCCAUCGAUCACCAGGGUAGAUUAGGGCUCUUCUGGCUGGCUGGGAAAAUGUCUGUUUCCUCCCUCACUGUUCUGUGUGUGUGUCCCUCUGAAGUUGCAUUCUGUCAAAUAGGACAACCUUCCAGGAUCAGAGGAGGACCCUUCUUCAUUUAAGGGUAAAUGAGUAGCUGUGCCCUCCUGCUAGAACCCCCAAACAAGUUCCAAGUUAUUUGUGAAGGUCUGGUCAAAUGAUGUUGAAAGAGUAAAACUGUCCCUCAGUACCUGUGAGAGACUGGUU
rnacentral:snRNA from 1 species